rnacentral:pre_miRNA from 1 species
AAAUGAUGAUGAUGAUGAUGAUGAUGAUGAUGGUAGUGGUGUGUAUUGCAAAGAAUAAAAUCAUCAUAUACAUUCAUCAUCAUCAUCAUCAUCAUCC